rnacentral:rRNA from 1 species
AAAUUGAAGAGUUUGAUCAUGGCUCAGAUUGAACGCUGGCGGCAGGCCUAACACAUGCAAGUCGAACGGUAACAGGAAACAGCUUGCUGUUUCGCUGACGAGUGGCGGACGGGUGAGUAAUGUCUGGGAAACUGCCUGAUGGAGGGGGAUAACUACUGGAAACGGUAGCUAAUACCGCAUAACGUCGCAAGACCAAAGAGGG